rnacentral:rRNA from 1 species
GCGGAGGAAAAGAAACCAACAGGGAUUGCCCUAGUAACGGCGAGUGAAGCGGCAACAGCUCAAAUUUGAAAUCUGGCUUCGGCCCGAGUUGUAAUUUGCAGAGGAAGCUUUAGGCGCGGCACCUCCUGAGUCCCCUGGAACGGGGCGCCACAGAGGGUGAGAGCCCCGUAUAGUUGGAUGCCUAGCCUGUGUAAAGCUCCUUCGACGAGUCGAGUAGUUUGGGAAUGCUGCUCAAAAUGGGAGGUAAAUUUCUUCUAAAGCUAAAUACCGGCCAGAGACCGAUAGCGCACAAGUAGAGUGAUCGAAAGAUGAAAAGCACUUUGAAAAGAGGGUUAAAUAGCACGUGAAAUUGUUGAAAGGGAAGCGCUUGUGACCAGACUUGCGCCGGGCUGAUCAUCCGGUGUUCUCACCGGUGCACUCUGCCCGGCUCAGGCCAGCAUCGGUUCUCGCGGGGGGAUAAAGGCCCUGGGAACGUAGCUCCUCCGGGAGUGUUAUAGCCCGGGGCGCAAUGCCCUCGCGGGGACCGAGGUUCGCGCUCUGCAAGGAUGCUGGCGUAAUGGUCAUCAGCGACCCGUCUUGAAACACGGACCAAGGAGUCAAGGUUUUGCGCGAGUGUUUGGGUGUAAAACCCGCACGCGUAAUGAAAGUGAACGUAGGUGAGAGCUUCGGCGCAUCAUCGACCGAUCCUGAUGUUCUCGGAUGGAUUUGAGUAGGAGCGUUAAGCCUUGGACCCGAAAGAUGGUGAACUAUGCUUGGAUAGGGUGAAGCCAGAGGAAACUCUGGUGGAGGCUCGCAGCGGUUCUGACGUGCAAAUCGAUCGUCAAAUCUGAGCAUGGGGGCGAAAGACUAAUCGAACCAUCUAGUAGCUGGUUACCGCCAA